rnacentral:rRNA from 1 species
UGGGGAAUAUUGCACAAUGGGCGCAAGCCUGAUGCAGCCAUGCCGCGUGUAUGAAGAAGGCCUUCGGGUUGUAAAGUACUUUCAGCGGGGAGGAAGGUGUUGUGGUUAAUAACCACAGCAAUUGACGUUACCCGCAGAAGAAGCACCGGCUAACUCCGUGCCAGCAGCCGCGGUAAUACGGAGGGUGCAAGCGUUAAUCGGCAUUACUGGGCGUAAAGCGCACGCAGGCGGUGUGUCAAGUCGGAUGUGAAAUCCCCGGGCUCAACCUGGGAACUGCAUCCGAAACUGGCAGGCUUGAGUCUUGUAGAGGGGGGUAGAAUUCCAGGUGUAGCGGUGAAAUGCGUAGAGAUCUGGAGGAAUACCGGUGGCGAAGGCGGCCCCCUGGACAAAGACUGACGCUCAGGUGCGAAAGCGUGGGGAGCAAACA